AUCAUCUGGAGACCUUGUUAAAAUGCAGAUUCUGAUUCUGUAGGUUUGGGCAAGGGAGGGGAGAUUCUGCAUUUCUAAUGAGCUCCCAGGCGAUGCUUA
rnacentral:pre_miRNA from 1 species